rnacentral:rRNA from 1 species
UACGGAGGGUGCGAGCGUUGUCCGGAUUUAUUGGGUUUAAAGGGUGCGUAGGUGGGUUAAUAAGUCAGUGGUGAAAUACGGUUGCUCAACAAUCGAGGUGCCAUUGAUACUGUUAAUCUUGAAACAAGUGGAGGUUGCCGGAAUGGAUGGUGUAGCGGUGAAAUGCAUAGAUAUCAUCCAGAACACCGAUUGCGAAGGCAGGUGGCUACGAUUGGUUUGACACUGAGGCACGAAAGCAUGGGGAGCAAACAGG